CCUGAGGUAAGUCCCGGCUCUGGGCCCGGGGGUGUUAUCCGCGGUCCUGGGCCUGGGCGGGCGCUGCUGUGUGGCCGCGCGCUGGCGCCGCCUUGUACUAGCCAGCCCCGCCCGCGCCCUACAGCAACCCAGGCGGCCCUGGGCGGGCCGCGGGCAGCAGCAGGUGUGAGCACGGCAGAGGCUGCGGUGGUCAUGUAUGAUGCUGCCUACACCCCCUCCCUUCCCCUGGGGGGUGGCUCCUCGCGGUGUCCUGGCGCUACAAACCCUCCUUGUCUCCUCUUCCCCGUUUAGGUUCGUCUGCGCCCGCUUGCUGCGCCUCUUAUCCUUUAUUUUUUUCUAUCUGGGGUAAUAGUCAGACCAAUCUUGGCACCAUACACAGUAAUCCUAGAGCCAGCACAGCUGACUCCUAUCAGAUCAUCUUGGGGAAAGGGAUCCUUGGUGCCAGACUUUCUUCCCCUGCUCUUCCUGGAGUCCAAGCAGCUGUGCAGUGAAAUUCCAUGCUGAAUCCAAUGGAGUCAAGAUCUUUGGGGAGGGGAAACCUGAAAGGAAACAACUAAUCUCCAGAAACUGUUCAUUCCUCUUGGUGUGCUGACUCCCCAGAGGUCCUGCUGACUGAAAGGAAGAUCUAAUGGAUGUUCAUUGUCUUCUGGGAAGUAAUGAAGCUCAACUGGUCACGGAUAAAAAGCCAUUUCUUCACAGCCUUCUGUGAGACACUUCAGUGUGUUCCUGCUUCCUUCACACUCCUUUGGAAGACUCAAUUAUGAGAUUCCCAUAAGAAAUGAGUCAAUAACACUAUAAACAAUAACAGUCAUAGUAAAAUAUGUUUUUAAAACCUGAUAA